rnacentral:rRNA from 1 species
UCGCAAUAUAUCCCUUCGAUUUGAACUCUAAGAAAUAAUAACGCUGUUAUCCCUAAGGUAACUUUAUCUUUAAAUCUAAAAUAGGAUCAAAAACUAACUAAUUAGUUUUAAAAUUAAAAAAAAGUUUAUUAAAUUUUUCAAUCACCCCAACUAAUUAAAUAAAUAAGAUAAAAAAAAUAAUAUACCAAUAAAUUUAACUUAAUUAUUUAUAAAGCUCUAUAGGGUCUUCUCGUCUUCAAUAAAUAUUUAAGCUUUUUCACUUAAAAAUAAAAUUCUAUAUAAAUUUAUAAUGAGACAGAAAUUUUCUCAUCCAACCCUUCAUACAAGCCCCUAAUUAAGAAACUAAUGAUUAUGCUACCUUUGCACAGUCAAAAUACUGCGGCUAUUUAAAUCACUUUCAUUGAGCAGGUUAGACCUUAAAUCAUUAUCAAAAAGAC